UGCAAGUCGAACGAACCUUCGGGUUAGUGGCGGACGGGUGAGUAACGCGUGAGAAUCUGCCCUCAGGAGGGGGAUAACAGUUGGAAACGACUGCUAAUACCCCAUAUGCCGAGAGGUGAAACGAAUUUCGCCUGGGGAUGAGCUCGCGUCUGAUUAGCUUGUUGGUGGGGUAAUGGCCUACCAAGGCUUUGAUCAGUAGCUGGUCUGAGAGGACGAUCAGCCACACUGGGACUGAGACACGGCCCACACUCCUACGGGAGGCAGCAGUGGGGAAUUUUCCGCAGUGGGCGAAAGCCUGACGGAGCAACGCCGCGUGAGGGAUGAAGGCCUUUGGGCUGUAAACCUCUUUUCUCAAGGAAAAAGAUCUGACGGUACUUGAGGAAUAAGCCACGGCUAAUUCCGUGCCAGCAGCCGCGGUAAUACGGGAGUGGCAAGCGUUAUCCGGAAUUAUUGGGCGUAAAGCGUCCGCAGGCGGCCGUUUAAGUCUGUUGUUAAAUUGUGGAGCUCAACUCCAUCACGGCAAUGGAAACUGUUCGGCUUGAGUAUGGUAGGGGCAGAGGGAAUUUCCGGUGUAGCGGUGAUAUGCGUAGAUAUCGGGAAGAACACCAGUGGCGAAAGCGCUCUGCUGGGCCAUUACUGACGCUCAUGGACGAAAGCCAGGGGAGCGAAAUGGAUUAGAUACCCAUGUAGUCCUGGCCGUAAACGAUGAACACUAGAUGUUGGGGGAAUCGACCCCCUCAGUGUCGUAGCUAACGCGUUAAGUGUUCCGCCUGGGGAGUACGCACGCAAGUGUGAAACUCAAAGGAAUUGACGGGG
rnacentral:rRNA from 1 species